rnacentral:rRNA from 1 species
GAUGAACGCUGGCGCCGUGCCUAACACAUGCAAGUCGAACGAAGCAACUGGAGGAAGUUUUCGGAUGGAAUCCGGUUGACUGAGUGGCGAACGGGUGAGUAACGCGUGAGUAACCUGCCCUGGAGUGGGGGACAACAGUUGGAAACGACUGCUAAUACCGCAUAAGCCCACGGUGCCGCAUGGCACAGCGGGAAAAGGAUUUAUUCGCUUCAGGAUGGACUCGCGUCCAAUUAGCUAGUUGGUGAGGUAACGGCCCACCAAGGCGACGAUUGGUAGUCGGACUGAGAGGUUGAACGGCCACAUUGGGACUGAGACACGGGCCCAGACUCCUACGGGAGGCAGCAGUGGGGGAUAUUGCACAAUGGGGGAAACCCUGAUGCAGCGACGCCGCGUGGGAGGAAGAAGGGUUUUCGGAUUGUAAACUCCUGUCGUUAGGGACGAUAA